UACGAAGGGGGCUAGCGUUGCUCGGAAUGACUGGGCGUAAAGGGAGUGUAGGCGGCUUGUUAAGUCUUCUGUGAAAUCUACGGGCUCAGCCUGUAACGUGCAGAGGAAACUGGCGAGCUUGAGUGUCGGAGAGGAUAGGGGAAUACCCGGUGUAGAGGUGAAAUUCGUAGAGAUCGGGUGGAACACCAGUGGCGAAGGCGCCUAUCUGGCUGACAACUGACGCUGAGACUCGAAAGCAUGGGGAGCAAACAGG
rnacentral:rRNA from 1 species